GCUGCCCUUCCCCUCGUAAUCCUGUUUAAAUCUUCAACCUGCUGUCUCCCUGGGUAAAGUACUAGAGCAAUAAAGCUGCCUCUUGGAGUUUAUUCCCCUGUCUCUGAGUCCUGUGUUUGGGUCCUGCCUUGCCUGCCACACAGCACCAUCAUAACAGCACUGCUUCUAAUGAUGGAAGGGAGAUACUUGCC